rnacentral:rRNA from 1 species
GACGAACGCUGGCGGCGUGCUUAACACAUGCAAGUCGAACGAAGUGGCGAACGGGUGAGUAACGCGUAAUCAACCUGCCAUUCAGAGGGGGACAACAGUUGGAAACGACUGCUCAUACCGCAUACUGAAGGAGGGGAUUGCGUCUGAUUAGCUAGUUGGAGGGGUAACGGCCCACCAAGGCGAUGAUCAGUAGCCGGUCUGGGAGGAUGAACGGCCAAACUGGGAAUGAGAAACGGCCCAGACCCCUUCGGGGGGCAGCAGGUGGGAAUCUUCCGCAAUGGACGAAAGUCUGACGGAGCAACGCCGCGGGGGUGAUGACAGCCUUCGGGGUGUAAAGCUCUGUUAAUCGGGACGCGGUACCGGAAUAGAAAGCCACGGCUAACUACGUGCCAGCAGCCGCGGUAAUAC